AUUAGUGCAAUAUAUCCUGAAAGCCUAUCACUUUAGAAAUCUGUGUUUAUAGAUAGCAAAGAAAAGAUUUGAGGGUAGCAAAAUUGAGAAAGAAACAGGCACGUGGAGGGCUCAGGAUGAUGAACAUCUCUUUUUGACAGAUGAAGAGCUUCUCCCUCCCAGGAGCCAACGCUGUCCCUCUCCCAGUGGUUGUGCCAUGGAGACAACUCCUGGAGACGUGUCCUCUACCAAAUUGAUGCCACGCGACCAGCUCUUGGCGGGGCUGGACUGGAUGCAGAUCUUCUGAGUCUCAGCCGCACACUUUCUCCAACACCUCUGAACUUUGAGAUGAAUGAAAAAUACUGUAUGUACAUGAAACAGAAGCUCUAUUCUAGGUUAGCCCAUGGAUCCAAAUGGUUUGAUCGUGUGUGCACAUGCACGUGGGUUUUGGAAACCUUUAGCAGUCAGUGGCCUUUGCUCCUUUGGCUUCUGGAUGAGCCGCUUUGCUUUUAAAAUUCAGAUUGUGACUUUUCAGGAAAUACACAGGUAAUACAUUUUUAAAACAGAAUGUUUUUUUUUCCAAUAAAUUCUGGAAUUCAGAUUUUCCCAAAUCAAGGCAAACGAGAGUUUGAUGCAUAUCAAAGUCAGGCAAGAAGAAAGGCACUUAUCUAUUAGCAUUUCCUGACACUAGAAUGCCAUUUUGUAAGUGUACAUUUUGCUGCACGUAGAGUCCAU
rnacentral:lncRNA from 1 species